GACGAACGCUGGCGGCGUGCUUAACACAUGCAAGUCGAACGGAAAGGCCCUGCUUUUGUGGGGUGCUCGAGUGGCGAACGGGUGAGUAACACGUGAGUAACCUGCCCUUGACUUUGGGAUAACUUCAGGAAACUGGGGCUAAUACCGGAUAGGAGCUCCUGCUGCAUGGUGGGGGUUGGAAAGUUUCGGCGGUUGGGGAUGGACUCGCGGCGUAUCAGCUAGUUGGUGGGGUAGUGGGCUACCAAGGCUUUGACGGGUAGCCGGCCUGAGAGGAUGACCGGCCACAUGAGAACUGAGACACGGUCCAGACUCCUAAGGGAGGCAGCAGUGGGGAAUAUUGGACAGUGGGCGCAAGCCUGAUACAGCCAGACCGCGUGGGUGAAGAAGGCGUUCGGGUUGUAAAGCCGUUUUGUUGGGAAAGAAAAGCAGCAGCUUAAUACCCCGCUGUUCUGACGGUACCCAAAGAAUAAGCACCGGCUAACUUCGUG
rnacentral:rRNA from 1 species